CAGUCGCCACGGUAAUACAGAGGGUGCGAGCGUUAAUCGGAUUUACUGGGCGUAAAGCGUGCGUAGGCGGCUUUUUAAGUCGGAUGUGAAAUCCCUGAGCUUAACUUAGGAAUUGCAUUCGAUACUGGGAAGCUAGAGUAUGGGAGAGGAUGGUAGAAUUCCAGGUGUAGCGGUGAAAUGCGUAGAGAUCUGGAGGAAUACCGAUGGCGAAGGCAGCCAUCUGGCCUAAUACUGACGCUGAGGUACGAAAGCAUGGGGAGCAAACAGGAUUAGAUACCCCUGUAGUCCCUGUCUCUUAUAA
rnacentral:rRNA from 1 species